GGGCCCGUAGCUCAGCUGGGAGAGCGCUGCGUUCGCAAUGCAGAGGUCAGGAGUUCGAUCCUCCUCGGGUCCACCA
rnacentral:tRNA from 6 species